rnacentral:rRNA from 1 species
AAAGGAACGCUAAUACCGCAUACGUCCUACGGGAGAAAGCAGGGGACCUUCGGGCCUUGCGCUAUCAAAUGAGCCUAGGUCGGAUUAGCUAGUUGGUGAGGUAAUGGCUCACCAAGGCGACGAUCCGUAACUGGUCUGAAAGGAUGAUCAGUCACACUGGAACUGAGACACGGUCCAGACUCCUACGGGAGGCAGCAGUGGGGAAUAUUGGACAAUGGGCGAAAGCCUGAUCCAGCCAUGCCGCGUGUGUGAAGAAGGUCUUCGGAUUGUAAAGCACUUUAAGUUGGGAGGAAGGGCAUUAACCUAAUACGUUAGUGUUUUGACGUUACCGACAGAAUAAGCACCGGCUAACUCUGUGCCAGCAGCCGCGGUAAUACAGAGGGUGCAAGCGUUAAUCGGAAUUACUGGGCGUAAAGCGCGCGUAGGUGGUUCGUUAAGUUGGAUGUGAAAGCCCCGGGCUCAACCUGGGAACUGCAUUCAAAACUGACGAGCUAGAGUAUGGUAGAGGGUGGUGGAAUUUCCUGUGUAGCGGUGAAA